rnacentral:rRNA from 1 species
UACGUAGGGGGCAAGCGUUGUCCGGAAUUAUUGGGCGUAAAGAGCGCGUAGGCGGUCCGAUAAGUCGGCUGUGAAAGUCAGGGGCUCAACCCUUGAAAGCCGGCCGAUACUGUCGGACUAGAGUCCGGAAGAGGCAAGUGGAAUUCCUGGUGUAGCGGUGAAAUGCGCAGAUAUCAGGAGGAACACCGAUGGCGAAGGCAGGUCUCUGGGCCAUAACUGACGCUGAGAAGCGAAAGCAUGGGGAGCGAACAGG